AAGUCGUAACAAGGUUUCCGUAGGUGAACCUGCGGAAGGAUCAUUACAAAUCCACGAGUCACCCUCACCGGUCGACCCACCACAACGUUGAACCCUCCCCCUCGGCGCGCGGACUCUCGCGCGCCUCGAGGACCCUAUUUGACCCCACCGUGACACCCAAUACCACGAAUGUACCAACAACAACAACAACCUAGAAACAACUUAUAACAAUGGAUCUCUAGGCUCUUGC
rnacentral:misc_RNA from 1 species